GCUGGAUGAAACUAAGAAAUAACCCCUUAUGUGCGAAAUUAUAGAAGAUCUCCUUUAAGAUCAAACAAUUCCAUCAAAUUGAGUAUGACUGUAUGUGUGGUAGCAUCUACUAUACCAGGAAUAUCAAUGAACCCCAUUCUUGCAAUUGCUCAGGAUACCCUCUUUUAG
rnacentral:rRNA from 1 species